rnacentral:lncRNA from 1 species
CAGCUGAUAAUGCUAAGAAAUGUAGCAGCAGUGGUGAGAAAAGGUACUGGUGGGAUGAACCUACGUUGUCUGAGCUCAAUGCGCACCAGAGCCAUCAGCUUUUGUGGGUUAAGGCUAACCACAUGGUCUACGACUACUGCAGCGACACUGCUAGGUUCCCAGUCACUCCUCUAGAGUGCCUGCACCACAGCCACCGCCACCACUAGGACUGAAACAAGGGUUUAUAGUCAUGGAGGAAGGAGGG